rnacentral:rRNA from 1 species
UACGUAGGGUGCAAGCGUUGUCCGGAUUUAUUGGGCGUAAAGAGCUCGUAGGCGGCUCGUCGCGUCGGCUGUGAAAACCCACGGCUUAACUGUGGGCUUGCAGCUGAUACGGGCGGGCUGGAGUUCGGUAGGGGAGACUGGAAUUCCUGGUGUAGCGGUGAAAUGCGCAGAUAUCAGGAGGAACACCGGUGGCGAAGGCGGGUCUCUGGGCCGAUACUGACGCUGAGGAGCGAAAGCGUGGGGAGCGAACAGG